rnacentral:miRNA from 1 species
GGCUUGAUGUUUCUCCGGU